rnacentral:rRNA from 1 species
AUUGAACGCUGGCGGCAUGCCUUACACAUGCAAGUCGAACGGCAGCACGGGUGCUUGCACCUGGUGGCGAGUGGCGAACGGGUGAGUAAUACAUCGGAACGUACCUUAUCGUGGGGGAUAACGCAGCGAAAGCUGUGCUAAUACCGCAUACGCCCUGAGGGGGAAAGCGGGGGAUCGAAAGACCUCGCGCGAUUAGAGCGGCCGAUGCCUGAUUAGCUUGUUGGUGGGGUAAAAGCCCACCAAGGCGACGGUCAGUAGCUGGUCUGAGAGGACGAUCAGCCACACUGGGACUGAGACACGGCCCAGACUCCUACGGGAGGCAGUAGUGGGGAAUUUUGGACAACGGGGGCAACCCUGAUCCAGCAAUGCCGCGUGAGUGAAGAAGGCCUUCGGGUUGUAAAGCUCUUUUGUCAGGGAAGAAACACCGGCUCUAACACAGUCCCGGAAUGACGGUACCUGAAGAAUAAGCACCGGCUAACUACGUGCCAGCAGCCGCCGUAA